rnacentral:misc_RNA from 1 species
ACUCUUCAACCCGCCCUUUUUCUUUCAUGAAUAGGUGUCGGUGUUUGGAUUUUGAGCCCUUGCCAUUGAUUUGGCUGGCUCGUAAUGCAUUAGCAUUUCAAUUUUCGUAAUCGGAUUGACUUGGCGUAAUAGACUAUUCGCUGAGGACACUUUUACUAGUGGCCGAGACAAGGAAUAACGAAGAGCUUCCAACCCCCUCUAGUCAGAAAUUUUUAAG